rnacentral:lncRNA from 1 species
CGAGGGAGGAUUUUAAUAUAACAUAUUGAAUAUGCCAAUUUUGUAACAUCGUAUGACAUGAUUUAGUUUAUACUUCUACAUGUAUUUGCACAGGUUGAAUGAAAUCCAUGUUAAAUUCAUGAGCAUUGUUUAGCUCAAUCCUCAUCUGAACAGCCAGGUACUACUGCUACCUUAGCCAUCUAGUAGGGCUUUGUUUCCGAUUACGAUAUACCGGAC